GUGCAGCAGGCGCGAAACUUCACAAUGUGCGAAAGCACGAUGAGGGAAUCCCAAGUGCUUGCACGUAAGUGUAAGCUGUUUCUCUGUCUAAAACGCAGAGAGAGUAAGGGCUGGGUAAGACGGGUGCCAGCCGCCGCGGUAAUACCUGCAGCUCGAGUGGUGACCGUUAUUAUUGGGCCUAAAACGUCCGUAGCCGGUUUAAUAAAUGCCUGGGUAAAUCGGACCGCUUAACGGUUCGAAUUCCGGGUAGACUGUUAAACUUGAGACCGGGAGAAGUUAGAGGUACUCCUGGGGUAGAGGUGAAAUUCUGUAAUCCUAGGGGGACCACCAGUGGCGAAGGCGUCUAACUAGAACGGGUCUGACGGUGAGGGACGAAGCCCUGGGGCGCAAACGGGAUUAGAUACCCCGGGGUAU
rnacentral:rRNA from 1 species